rnacentral:rRNA from 1 species
AGGACGAACGCUGGCGGCGUGCUUAACACAUGCAAGUCGAGCGGUGAUCCUCCUUCGGGAGGUGAUCAGCGGCGAACGGGUGAGUAACACGUGGGCAACCUGCCCCUAACACUGGGAUAACCUCGGGAAACCGGGGCUAAUACCGGAUAUGACCUCAAGCGGCAUCUCUUGAGGUGUAAAGCUCCGACGGUUAGGGAUGGGCCCGCGGCCUAUCAGCUUGGUUGGUGGGGUAAUGGCCUACCAAGGCGACGACGGGUA